GUUUGUGUGUGUUCUUUAUGAUUCUCACUGUGAUGAUAUGAGAGACCUUUGCCACAUAAACAGGUUGUUUUCUUGCUGUCCAACGAUUAAUACUCCCUGUAUUGAUAUUUUGUUCUUUAGUUUGGAAGAUGUUCUUAGUUUUUUAUAGUAUUUCGAGGGUUGUGUGAUGGUAGGUUUUUCAUUUAAUCAAAAGGAAGCACAGGCUGUUACAUGUAUGACUGUUAGUAUUUUUAAACCCAAUGUGUACACUCCUUAGUCUUGGCGAAUACCAACGGCAGAACUGCACUAAUAAAUUGUUACUAUACUAUUCUGUUGGUGACUGCUAAGGGGAACUAUGUUUAUUUUUUUUUAUGAAUUCCAAUUUUUUGUGACCAAACUGUAAAUGCUUAUAAAGCACUUUAGGCAGUUGCUGAUUUUUUUGUGUUGCCUUAAAGCAGUGAAAUUGUUUUCCCUUAAUUUGAUCUUUCAUAUUCAUAUCACUGUGAUGUAAGAGAUGUACAGAGGGAUAUGUUUGAGGCAAGGAUGCUGUAAUGGGUAUUUUUCACAAUAUGUUUGACAUUAAAAUGUAUUUUACAUUUUAUAGAUCAAAUAAUUUUUUUAAGUAAUUAAUGGAGAAAAUAAUUGAUUGAUCCACAAUGAAAAUAAGCAUUAGCUGCUGCCCUACUACAGUGAUCACCUGCAGGUGCAAACUUCCCCAGAGUCCACCUUAUAAGGCCUUCUCACCUUGCUGCAGUGGUUACAGGUGGACUCAGGACCCUGUGACAUCACUGUUAGUUGUGGUUACAGGUGGAACAGCACAUUUCUGGCCAUAUCCAUCAGCAAAACACUGCUGUUGAGCCAGUUAAGUUACUCUCUGAAGAUACAAGCAAUGUGGUUGGUGAGAAGCACUGUAAACAUACCUUUUGUUUACAAGGAUCUUGCUUCCAGCAGGCUGUACAAAUAGUAUGUAAGACUCUUCAACUUUGUUAUGGUGUACUAUUAUUGGAUAGCGUCAGCUGCUCUGAACAGUGGGCAGACCGUCAAACCUCCCAUGAGGCUAAAUAUUAUGGGCCCUCGGAUGAAUCAGGUAGUGUUACACCACCAUCCAUGUCCCAGUUAAAGGAAAUGUACAGUAACAAUAGUUCCAUACUAUUACACAGUAGUGUUCACCUGUUAAUCCUUGCCCUGAACACAUCCCGCUACUGCAGAUCAGUUCACAUAUAUACACAUGGUUACCAAUAUUACUGUCUAAUAUUAAUGUCUACUCUUUUACUUGGGAAUACUGACGGUUUUUUAUGUAAUCUGGUGAAAUGUAGGUGUGAAUCAGGUACUAGUAACAUUGCUAGAUUGGCUGUGAGUUUCAAGGACCCUAGUUGUAAAAUGACUGCCUUCAAUCUUUUGUAAAUGUGACAUAACCAACGCUCAGGAUCCAAAUGUGCUGGUUUUUAUUCUCGCUUUUUUCCACUAGGACACCUGGUGAAUGCAAUCAUCAAGAUGGUUGAAUAGAAAACCGACAAGGCCGAUAGCCAGGAUUUAAAUCAACUGACCCAAAGCCUUUUAUCGUAUAAAUGCUGUAGAUAGUAAUGUUUCUUUAAAGAAGCUGCCAGUAAUUUCAAUGUGUUCAUGCUCGUUAGAGAGUAAAGAGCAAACCCAAUGCCGUAUACACAGCUAUACACUAUGAUUAUUUCAUCCAGUGUGGGCCAAUAGACAUGUUUGUUGAAAUUUACUAAAAAAGUACUAAACAAUGAGACAGGAAACAGGUCUGCUGUAAACUACUGAUUGCACACUUGUGCCCAAAGGACUCACUGUUACGGAUAUUAUUUGUAUUUUAUUGAAGGGGUUGACAAAAACACAUCAUGAAAAAGUACUUUAACGCUGGUACAGAUGUGGGUCAUACUGUAUUUAGUCAAAUAAGAAGUUUGAUAAUCAGCACUCUGUGUGUUUAAAGCAACAUAAAAGAAAGCACCAGUCAGAAAACAGCUGAAUUAUUAAAUGAAAAAUAUUUAUUAAAGAGAAAAAAGUCUUUGACAUUGAUCGCAAGAGUCACAAAAUAAGGUUAGGGUUUAGCAGACCUGUAUAAGAACUGCUGUUUGGCAUGCCACCUAAUAUAACCCGUCUCUGUAGCUGACAGUAUUUGUAAUGGCUAUUGAGUUACUUUCAGAGUCCAACAUGUGAAUCAAGUUACUCCUUCAUUAUUUUGGCUGUAUCCUCUGUAGGCCUGCAACAUGUCUCAUUGGCCCACACUAUUUACAGUACAUUUGCUUGUUAGAAAUGCACUGUGUUGUUCUUCUUUUAGGUU